UGUCAACAAAAUAACAAGACAAUACCUUAAAACACCCUUAUUUCACACCACUAACAAUAAACAGAUAACAAUCUGUCAGGCAUUCAGAGCUAAACAGGGUACUGAUUAUCUAGGGGUAGAUAAGGCUACUGAUGGGGUCCUAGAGAUAAGGCUGUGUGGAAUAAGAUAUAAGGCUUUUGAUUGGCUAUUGCACUGAGGAAGUUAUCUUUUUGAAAACAACAACUUUUGAAAAACAAGCUGGUGUCAGCAACUGAAUAUUGAGCUAAAUUUAAUUCAGCAACAUUAAUAUAAAGAAGUGAAAGACUUAUAAUGGUAGUGUAAAAUGUCUUGAAAUUCUGUCAGCAUGAAGUAUUGUGUGAUGAAAACAAUGUGUUUUUUACUGCAAUGUGGAAAUCAAUAAUAAGUUGGUUGGAAAGGAGGUUGAACUGCCUGUUGUUGUUUUUGGAAUACUGAAGAACAGUUUUAACAGGUUAAACUCUUGCCACAAGGCAAAAUUGACAUCGUUGGGAAGAUCCUUUGGAAAGAAUGUGCAUCAUCGCCUGCCUGAUGUAUGGACUUUUAAACCUGGUUUUUACCCUGCACAAGCUGGCAAACUUGAGGGGAACAAGAGUGGGAAAACCUCGCCCUGUCCUUGACCAAGAAAGCUCGAUUUGUUGAGAGAUCAACUGGCAUAAGAGAUGCUCAAGAGGAGAAGGACACAAGCAGCAUCAAUGGAACAACUACAUGUCGCUCCAGCGCCCGCUUUCCAGGUCUCUACCAGCUGCUUUCCAGGUCCCUCCACCCGCCAAGAUCAGGUCUAGGUCCCUGCACUGGCUGCUUUCCAGGUCCCCUAGCGGUCAAGGUCUCUCCAGUAGCUGCUGUGCAGGUCCCAACACCGUAUGCCGUCAAGGUCCCUCCUUAAGCUGAAAUCCAGGUUCCUCAUUCCACUGCGGUUCAGGUACCUCCAACAGCUGAGAUCCAGGUCUCUGCAGCAGCUGCGGUCUAAAUACUCCACCCGCAGUGGUCCAUUGCGGUCAAACUUUUGCUUUAAAAUC